rnacentral:rRNA from 1 species
GCGGUGAAAUGCGUAGAUAUCAGGAGGAACACCUGUGGUGUAGACAGCUUACUGGACCAUAACUGACGCUGAGGCACGAAAGCGUGGGUAGCAAACAGGAUUAGAUACCCUGGUAGUCCACGCCCUAAACGAUGCAUACUUGGUGUGAGCCAUUCAUUUGGUUCGUGCCGGAGCUAACGCGUUAAGUAUGCCGCCUGGGGAGUACGGUCGCAAGGCUGAAACUCAAAUGAAUUGACGG